GCGCCGUUAGCUCAGUUGGGAGAGCGCCGCCUCGACAAGGCGGAGGUCGCUGGUUCGAGCCCAGCACGGCGCA
rnacentral:tRNA from 1 species